AUUGUAACUAUUGGUCCUUAUGGAAAUCUUUCAUUGAUUUGUAUGGUCGUGAGGUGCAAAAUGGAGAACUUGAUGAAUGAGGCAUUUUAGUCGCCUAUUUUUUUGUUUCUUUGUUUGUUGGUGUGUGUGUGUUUGUUGUGUUUUAUUGUCUUUAUGUUUAGGGAACAUCAACAUUUUGAUGCAUAUAUGUGGAUUUUGUAAUGAGCUUUAUUAACUCAAUAAAUACAUUUAACUUUUGUCUGUUGCUUUGUUUGAUUGUUUAUGCGGUUUUCCUUUUUUCUUAAUAUGUAUCUUUAUUUAGAUAAGACUGAUGUAUUGAGAUAUAUGGGGUGGUUUAAAGAUUUUGUUGAUGUACUUUUCUUGUGUUCUUUUUUCUCCAUAUGUGACUGUUUAAAAAUAAUAAAUAAAGAUGACAAAAAAAAAUGGUGUUCAGUUUGUAAUUGAGCUGGUUUCACUUUAACGGGGUUUGCUCUACUGGCUUGGCUAAUACUUGUUAUUCGUUUGGCUUCAGCAACUUCAAUGACUGCCACAUAAGUAUUUAGUAUGUUACAAGGAGUCCAUUUCUAUGUGGAAACAAAACGAGGUACAAGCAAUUUCGUCUUGAGAAUGAACUACCACUUUAAAGAUGUGCGUUCCCUCUUUACGGUCAGCAUUAUGCUUCAAAAGAAAUUGGGAAACAAUUUCAUGUGCACAACCUCUUUUGAUGUUGAAUGGGCUUGUAACUUUGCAGGAAAGUCAGCUUCUAAGAGUUACCGUCAACCUUCUUUUCUGUAAUAGGAGAUACAUGACCGUUCGGCAACAGUUCACAGCCAACAUUGGGUAAAAGAGAAGCUCUCUCAUCACGCGGGUACUUUAGCUUUGAUGAUAUAAGCGUGUUAUACAAUUCUCUUGUAAAAAUGAAUUCCUAGUUCUGUGAACAACUUUUACUCGCUCUCACUUGCAUGGGAGUAUAAUUUAAGCUGGCUACAGUUACCGACAAGGUAUUCCGAAUGAUUUGGAGUACGGACCGGCUGAGCUGCCGCAAGUGCAGAUCUUGGUGGUAGUUGCAAAUAUACAAACGAGAACUUUGUAGGCUGAAGUGGAGAAAGGUUCCAUGUGAACAGCAGUUGAACAUGGGUCAGUCGGUCCUAAGAGAUGAGCGAGUGCUGUUAGGCAUAGACAGGCAAUGGCCUCUGGUGCCCUCAGAUAAUCGAAAGGGAGUCGGGUUCAGAACCCCAGACCCAGAGUGGCAGAGAUGGGUGCCCUUGUGGCAUCCAUUGCGGUAAUGCAAACGACCGCGGAGAAGAUGGCAAGAGCCCCAGAGAGAGUUCUCUUUUCUUUGUGAAGGGCAGGGCACCCUGGAAUGUGUUCGCCUUGAGAGAGGGGCCAGUGUCUUGGAAAGUGUUGCGGUUCCAGCGACAACCCGUGAGCUCCCGCUGGUCCUUUAAAAUCCAGGGGAGAUAGUAUAAACCUUGCGCCGGGCCGUACGCAUAUCCGCAGCAGGUCUGCAAGGUGAACAGCCUCUUGCAUGUUGGAACAAUCUAGGUAAGGGAAGUCGGCAAGUCGAUCCAUUACUUUGGAUAUAGAUUGGCUCUAUGGGCUUGUUCGGUCUGGCUGAAGCACGAAGCAGGGUUGGGGGUGCACUGUGAUUGAAUGAGGCAUCCCCCCACAGCGCAACUCUGGACGCGAGCCAGUCCCUUCUUUUCGAUCACCCCAGCUCCGGAUUUGCCUCUAUCCAUUCCCCGUCCGGGGUUCUGGGUUGGCGUUCUGUCUUAGCUGAUGACUUAGAACUGGAGUGGACCAGUUGAAUCUGACUUUUUAAUUAAAAAAAAAAAAAAAACAUUGCGAAGGUGUUGAUGCAAGGUAAUUUCUGCCCAGAUGUCAAAGUGAAGCAAUUCAAUGAAGCAUAGGUAAACGGCAGGAGUAACUAUGACUCUCUUAAGGUAGCCAAGUGCCUCAUCACAUAAUUAGUGACGCACAUGAAUGGAUGAACAAGAUUCACUAUCUAGCAAAACCACAGCCAAGGGAAUGGACUUCACAGAAUCAGCAUGGAAGGAAGACUCCAUUGAGCUUGACUAGAGCCUGGCACUUUGAAGAGCGACAGGAGGUGUAGGAUAACUGGAGGCCCUCUGGCGGUCGGUGAAAUACCACUACUCAACAUUUUUUCAUUUACCUGGCCUGGCGAGGCGGGUGAGCCCCAUGGGGAUCUUGCUUCUGGCUGCAAGCACCUGGCACUUGCUGGGCACAACCCGCUCCAGGGACAUUGAAGGUGGGGAGUUUGACUGGAGCAGUACACCUGUCAAACAAUAAUACAGGUGUCCUAAGUAGAGCUCAAGGAAUGCCCCCUCCAAGUGGCCCCCAGUGCAGGUGGUGCCUGAUGGGUCCGAGCGCAGAGCAUAGCUUAAGCAGGCCCUGCAGCUGAAGACCAGGUGGAAUCUGGGCUCCAGUGGCAAUCCGAGGGGAGAGCUACCAGGGAUCCGCGAGGGGGGCCCGAGACCCCCUGGCUUGGUAGCCCAGAGCACCAGGUCUUCCCCAACCGGACCCAAAGGGCCAGAGUGGAAUGCAAGUCCCACCAAGCCUGUCAUGAGCGCUACUCCUGAGGAGCCAAGACUGGCCCAGCGUCCCCGGAAGCAGGCUCAUCAUCCACACCCCCCGGUUCCAGCAGACCCCUACAGGGGCCCUUUGGACCAUG
rnacentral:rRNA from 1 species